UACACAUGUGGCUGCUUGAAAAUUAAGGAGUAAUUUGAUCAUCUAGCUUAUCUGCAAUAAUUUGUUAAAGGCCUGAAGCAACAUCUGAUUCAAGCAUAUUUAAGGGUCAUAAUAAUGAAAGGUUCAAUGAUGCCGACUAGCUGAAACCUGAUCAAUUGAUCAUUUAUAUGAAUUUGGAAUUCCCUAUAUAGGAAUCUUCUUAAUGCCUCGCUGCAUGAAAGCUCAGUUUCUUUUUCUAUGUGGCUUGGCUUAGCCCCACCUAAAGUGGAAGUUCUGGUCUGGUUAGCUUGCCGGGGUUGUUUGUGUACAAAAGAUUGGCUGUGUAAUAUUGGCAUCAUUCCCUCUUCCUGAAAUCAAUGCACUCGUUGCCUGGUCAAAAUUGAGACAGUUUCUCACAUUUUUCUUGGCUGUCGGCACUCUUGGCUUAUUGGAAUUGGUUCCUUAACAUUAUGUUUGUCUUCCAAACUCCUUACCUUCCUUUUUUCAUGAACGGGGUGCAUUAAUUCAUGGAAGCUUUAAACAGAAAUUCUGGAUCAGUCUAUUCCAUGCCAUAGUGUGGUCUAUCUGGUUAUCAAGAAACGGCAAGGUUUUCAAUAUGGCAAGGACAUCCCCACCUCCUUCUCUCUUUGCACUUUAAUCCUCCACUGCCUUUCCACUUCGAUGAAAGCAUUGGAUGCUAACUUCCCAUUCUCAGGAACUGACCUCCUUAUUACUUCUGCCACAAUCAGGUCACCCCCCCACCACAUGGCUCAAAUGGAAUGUUAAUGCCUCUUCCUUGGGCAAACCUGGUAAAAGUGCUAUUGAAGGGGUCUUUCUUUAGGAACUAAAAUGCCAUGUAUUUUCUCGUCCUUCGGGGAUCUUGGAAUCUAAUGAAGCUGAAAUUAAGGUCAUCCUUGAAGCUUUAGAGCUGUCAUCUUCUCCGCCAGCACUUGGAUGUACCUCUUCCCCAAUCCUCAUUGAGAUCGACUCAGCACUCAGCACCCAGGGUCUGAAUCGUUUGGAAGAUUUUGUGGCAAUCCUUUAAUGGCCACCUUUUGCCUUGCCCCUAGUUGUUAUGUUUAUUGCCUGCUAUAUCUUCUUUCUGAAUCGAGUGGAUGUUGCUUUUGGAUUUGACUUACUUUUGCUCUGUGUCUCUUUUUGGAGGAUAGUGUCUUCAUGUGUCACAGUAUCUGUCAUGUCUCGCUAGUGUUUUGGUCAUUAGCUAUUUGAAGACUUUUGGACCUUGUGUUGUUUUUAUGGCUUGUUUUGGAUUGUAUUGCAUUUUGUCAGUCUUGUUUUGUCCUUCCAGGUUUUUCCAUUUAGCAUGCCGUGUCCUAGGCCGGGUGCUCUGAGGAGGUCUAUUGACCUGGGUUUAGUUCGGAUGUGUUUAUGCUAAAUUUUUCCUGGGAGUUGCUGACAAAUCUCACAUGACUCCAACAACUUUAUAUUCAGUAUUGUCCACGGAUAACAAAAGUGUCUUCUGCUUUGCAGCAUCUAACCUCUCUUGAGAUUCUUGUCUUUGUGGCUUGCAAGGAGCUUGAUUUAUCUGAUUCAGAGGAUCAUAGUGAUAUGCCGUGGCAGUGCCUUAGAAGUUUCCUAGAACUUCUACUUGGAAGUUUGUUCAAAUUUGCAUCACUCCACACUCUGCGAAAACUCACAAUCAAAAAUUGUACCAAUUUGAUAUCUUUACUGGAGUGGAUGGGAAGCCUCACCACAUUACAAUAUUUAUGGAUUGAAGAAUGUCCUCAACUAUCAGGAAGAUGCAAAAAAAAAAGGGUGCUGAUUGGCCCAAGAUUGCUCACAUCCCAAAUAUUAGUAUUGACAAUGGAUGGAUUCAAGUGGAUGGCUGCUACAAACUAUGAUCAGAAGAAUCGGAUUGACUUCUCUUAGUAGCAGUUGUUCAUAGAUGUUAAAGAAUAGGUGUGUAACCAUGACAAUUGGUGGAUGUACUGCUAUCUCUUCUGAACUUUAGGAUGGGGAUUCACUGAGUAGCUUCAUAUAUGAAAUUUCGAUGAAGGGCAUUGUCAUUGAUCAACUUCUCUUCACAUUCCUUUUUUUUAACUGGAGUUGCCACUAUGAAGAAGUCCCACAAUCCCUUGUAGCUGGUCAGUGCCUGAGUUAAUAAAAUUAGGGGUAUUCGGUUCCGAUUCGGUUCGGGGUUUGGCUAGGAACUGAAACCGAACCAAAAUUUCGAUACAGUUUCAGUUCGGUUCGUCAUUAUUUCGGUUCCAGUUCGGUACGGUUCUUGGUUCUUUGGUUCGGUACGGUUACGGUUCGGUUUUCGGUUCUUAAAACAAUUUUAUAUCAUUAUUUCUUUAAAAAGUCAUUCUUAAAUUAGCAUUUAAGUUUUAAAUUGGAUUAUUAAUACAUAAUAUAUCAUAUAAUAUAUAUUUUAGCUAUACCUAAAGUGUAUAUAUAAUUUAAGAUUAAAUAUAUUAUAUAGUAUAAUAAUAUAAAUAUAUCAUAUAAUAUACAUUUUAAUUAUUUAUUAAUCAUAUAAUAUGUUAUUUACCUCGGUGGACACCCAAACUCACCUCAAAGCAGUUGUUCAUAGAUGUUGAUGUUGACAAUUGGAUGGGAAUCAUUGUGAUGGUCAUUGUCAUCUAAACUGCGUAAUGCAGAGAUGGAAAAAGCAAAAUGAUAUUCAACGACAUUUCUUCCAAUCUAAUUCACACGUUUGAUCACACAGUGUGGAAAAAAAUGACCAUCUUGGGUUUCUUCCAAAAAAAUGUAAAGCAUUUGCCCCAAAUUGAAGCCUUAUCUUGUGAGCUUGAUCUGUUCAAAGUGCCUGCCCCUAGCCUGAUGGACAUUUUUAGUGUAAACAAUAUGACCAUUGAUCUUCAAGGAGUUAUAUGGAAGCACUUUAGACUCGGAUGAAGUUUUGGGUUUCAAUGCUUUGAGACCUUCAUAUAAUGGCAGCCGUUAUCUGAAAUUAAUAAACAGUUGUAGAUAUUCCUUUUGUAGUGUUGUGUUGAAAGUGUUUCUUUGAACAUUCUAUGCUACAAUUUGGAUGGUUCUAUCUACUUCUGCAAGUGAAGACCUCUGUCCAUCUCAUUUAUCUGUAAAUGGCUGCCAACCUUAUCAUGUUCUUUUCAAAAUUUGAAGUAUUCCUCUAUAAUUACCUCAAAUUGAAGUUUCAUCUCCCUUGCCUAGAGAAGCUGCUGAAUGCAAGGAUUUUCAUCUGUACAAUAACGAAUGCAGAAUGCUAUAGUGCUUCUCUUCUUAAUAUUUAAUGAAUGGCACCUCUUGGACGUUGAUGAACUUCAAAUUGCUGCCACUUUAUAACAACUUCUAGAAUUUCUUUAUUGAUGACUUCUUCAAGUAAGGUACAACUUCCAUUUUGAAGAUCAACGGCCAGUUUGUCUUCUGCUAUGCGGGAUGCAGUGGUCGACCAAUCAUUGGUUUUGUAAACAGAAUGAGAUUCAACAAUUCACAUUUCUUCAAAUCUAACUUAUUCCUUCCUUCUGGUUGUGUGGUACAUAUGAUUACUACUGGGUUGUUUUUUCUAUCUUUUAUUGUUAUAUUUUCUUGUAGAUGAACAAUUAAAUAUCAAACAACCCAUAGUUCUACCGUUUUUUGAUUUGGUUUCUGGGAAAACAAAAUGAUAAUCAGAAGUUUCUUCUAGAAAAUGUAAAGCGUUUUCCCAAAAUUGAAGUCUAAUCCCCAGGCAUGUGAUAUGGAAGAAACAUGCUCUGUUCAAUGCUCCUUUUUUAUUAUUAUUAUUAUUUUUUUAUAUAUGAGUUUUACAUUUUCAUAUAUAUUUUCAUCUGUUUCUUCACUUUAAUCAUUUAUGCGAUUGUAGAAUUGUUUGUAACUUUUUUUCAGUACUUAAGGUUGUUGAAGAUUAAUGCAGCGAAUGGAGGAACUUCAGCUACUGUUAUCCUUUUAAUGCUGUUCUGCAAAUAUUGUGAAUCAGUAGAUUGAAGCAUUUCCAUGGGAAAAGCAGUUGUGAAUAGGCCUCUCUUAUGCAAGAAAGUGUUUGUUUUGGCACAUAAACAGUAUAUAUGAUCGUUGCUCAAGAGUUUCACAAAAGCUAUUAGGAAGUUGCGGAAAGUGAAAGAGAAGCAGAUGCACGUCCAUCAUUGACCCAUAAUUACCAUCUCUUGUAAGGCAAGUACAUCCUGUUGUCUUCUUUAAAUUCUGUAAGCUACCACAUGACUUCUUCAAAUAGUUGUAGUCUUCAAAUCACAUUGAGCCUAUCAAAUCUGAUUCCUAGUUUACUGUGUAAACUGACUCAAAAGAUUGUUUUCAUUAAGGUAUGACUGUUCAAGACUCCCAAUGAAUUUCCUGUGCAUUCCUGUUGUUGUUGAGUGAUUGGUUCUAUCCCCAUUUGCAUCAUUAUGCAGCAGAUAUUCUGAGUGAAUGAUUGAAUGAAUCGUUGACCCAUAAUUCAAAGUUACACGAGUUGCAACUCGAAAAUGGUGGAGUUAUUGCCUGCUCUAGCACAGAGUUGUUCAGAUGGAGAUUUUUUUACAGCUUGAAGCACAGAUUUAGUUCAAGCUGAUUUAAGGACUAUAAUCAUAAACGAAUGAUACUAUGAGCUGCUCGCUUGCACAACUAUAUUAAUGGAAUAUCUAGAGCUUACAUGCAAUUUAGUAUCGCAUGAGAAAUGGAGAUUUUGAUUGCAAAUUUGUAUCAGGCCAGAAGUUUCUGAGUUUGAGCUUUGGAUUCUCCAAUAAGAUAGAAUGGACUGGCACAUAAACAAUAUGACCAUUGCUCAAGAGUUUCACAAAAGCUAUUCAAAAGUUGGGAAAAGUGACAGAGCAGAUGCACAUCCAUUGAUCAUGGCAUUUCUUGCACAUGCAAAUAGUUGUAAUUACUAUCUCUUGUAAGGCCGGCACAUCCUGUUCUCUUUAAAUUCUUGGAUGUGAACAUUAUUUAUGCAGUGGACGUUCUAUGUAAAUAAUGGCAUGAAUAGUUGACCCAUAACCGAAAGUUUCACGAUUAUGCAACUUGAAAAUGCAAGAGUUAUUACCUGCUCUAGCACAGAGUUGAUCAGAUGGAGUUGUUUUACAGGUACUGAAGACAAAGCCCAGUGGAUAUUAGACUGGGAUUUUGGAGUCCGGAUUUGCAGAAGUGUCAGAAGUGUAUAAGUUUGUCACCUCCUCAGCAAUGCAUGUAGAUAGGGCUCACAUUAGUCAUAUUAUGUAUUUUGUGUAUUACAAUUAUUUCAUAUGUUGUAAUGCAAUCGAAGAAAUUGUAUUUAAUAUGUAUAGGAUGUAAAUUAAUAGAUUAGCUCUUUCAUCUGAAAUUAAAUUGUAUAUUAUAUAAAUUAAUGAAAAUAUGAGAAUUUAUAUAUAUAAAUCGUGCAUUAAUGAAUAUGUAUGGAAAUGAAUGGAUUUGUACAAA